rnacentral:rRNA from 1 species
AACGAACGCUGGCGGCAGGCUUAACACAUGCAAGUCGAACGGGCGUAGCAAUACGUCAGUGGCAGACGGGUGAGUAACACGUGGGAACCUUCCUCGUAGUACGGAACAACUCAGGGAAACUUGAGCUAAUACCGUAUACGUCCGAGAGGAGAAAGAUUUAUCGCUAUGAGACGGGCCCGCGUCCGAUUAGGUAGUUGGUGGGGUAACGGCCUACCAAGCCGACGAUCGGUAGCUGAUCUGAGAGGAUGAUCAGCCACACUGGGACUGAGACACGGCCCAGACUCCUACGGGAGGCAGCAGUGGGGAAUCUUGGACAAUGGGCGCAAGCCUGAUCCAGCCAUGCCGCGUGAGUGAAGAAGGCCUUAGGGUUGUAAAGCUCUUUUGCCAGGGACGAUAAUGACGGUACCUGGAGAAUAAGCCCCGGCAAACUUCGUGCCAGCCGCCGCCGUAA